UGGGAAUAGCACAAUAUGCACCACUCUGGCUUUGCAUGAGCUACUCCUGUGUUUGUAAAGGCAAAGCAAAUAUAAGUGUAGCUACCCUAUGAAGGCAGGUUAAUAGUGUUUGUGAAGGAAGUAGGGAUGAAAAAAUGAAGCUAUUGAAAGAAUCAACAUGAUGGAUGGUCUUGGAGAACAGGGUAGAUGAAGAGAACCUGCCCUUAGAAGGGGAAGAUGGUAACCAGCUGCUUUCCUUCACCAGAAGGGAUGGAGAUGCUGAGGAGGCUGCUUGUGGCAAUCCCUUCUAUGGACUAAGUGGGAAGAUUAUUGGAAUCAGUAAUCCUGAAACAAGUUGAAAGACUGCAUCGACUUCUCUUGUAAGACUCCAAAAUGAAAGGGUUGAGAGUGACAUCCCUGAGGUCUCAGUAGCUGAGCUCUUUAAUGUGGGUAUCUGAAUCCAUCUUAUUUGGGUCUUAGGGCAAGUUUUGGGGUCACCCUCAGCCUGAUGUGCCCUAAUUACCACUUCUGCUUUGCCAUGUGGCAGGUUCUAUGCCAGGGAUGGAGGCUUGUUGUAUUGGGGUGCAGUUGUGGCCAUGUGCAGACCUAGCUGCCAGGGCAGCUGCACAGCUC
rnacentral:lncRNA from 1 species